rnacentral:rRNA from 1 species
GACGAACGCUGGCGGCGUGCUUAACACAUGCAAGUCGAACGGACGAGUGAGAUAAGUUUACUUAACUCACAAGUUAGUGGCGGACGGGUGAGUAACACGUGGAUAAUCUACCUGCAACACCGGGAUAACGCUGUGAAAACGGUGCUAAUACCGGAUACGUUCCCUUGUGCGCAUGUAUGAGGGAAGAAGGCUCAGGCGGUUGCAGAUGAGUCCGCGGCUGAUUAGCUAGUUGGUGAGGUAAAGGCUCACCAAGGCGAUGAUCAGUAGCCGGCCUGAGAGGGUGAACGGCCACACUGGGACUGAGACACGGCCCAGACUCCUACGGGAGGCAGCAGUGGGGAAUCUUCCGCAAUGGGCGCAAGCCUGACGGAGCAACGCCGCGUGGGUGAAGAAGGCCUUCGGGUUGUAAAGCCCUGUCUUAUGGGAAGAAGUCAGUGACGGUACCAUAGGAGGAAGCCACGGCUAACUACGUG